AGAAAAUUGGAAAGAGACAGCUGGGAUGGAGCCUUGACUAUUUUAAUAAUGCUCGACACCAUGGCUGUUGCUGGGAGAUUAGCCGGCGAAUGCAACGGUGUGUAAUUUUUCCUAAGAAUUCCAUUAACAAAAUCAAAUGGGCAGCCGCAGGCGGGGGCGGUGGGGGUGGGGAGCUCUCUGGAGGCAUCUUUGGGAGGCAGUUUCUAGGCGCAGACCCUCCGCCUUGGGUGUGAGGCCCAGGCUCCCUGGGGCCUCUACCCCGCCCACAGCCCGUGGGGGAUGGCCAAGGUCGAGUAAAGAGAACGGUUUCUGUCCUCUGCCCCAGCACCAUACCUGUCCAUCUCCAAAACUCUGGGAGAAAGGGGCCAUUGUGCCCACUUCUAAGAUGAAAAAACUGAGUCUGGGACAAGCUUUCAUUGGUUUUAGGUCACAUAGCUGUCAGCUGGAAAUGGAGCGCGGGGGGGAGGGGCAGGUUGGAGACCCUCCCUUCUUUCCCCAAUGCCCCUCCCUCCAGUCUGCUUUGGUGCUGGAGUUGGCCCCACACUGUCACUGCAGCCGGAAGCCCCUCAAGGACUGGCUUCACAUCUCUGUCCCUCUGUCUUCACGAAGAUGGCUCACCCAUAAGUGGGUGUUCAAGACACACACAGGGAAUCAGACAGGCAGGGGCCCUUGGACAAAUGGUUUCCUUAACACACAUGGACUAUCUUGGAGUCGUCCCUUGCCCUCAUCCUGCAGUCUACACACACACACACACACACACACACACCCUGAGCUUGCAAAAUCUAAUAGCAACCAGUUUAAAAACAUACUAAAAAGAGAAAAUUUAUGUAGCAUGACCCAAAUUGAAUUAUACAUUACAGCACUAUAAUUGAUUUUUUAGAAGAGAGAUUAAAUUUAUUUUAUGCCUCACUAACUAACAGCUAGAUUUACCUAAUUGCUCCGAGUGCAGAGUUAGUAUGAUUCAUUAAACGCCAUCCAUGCUUGGGUACACUGCACACUGAGUAAAACUCCCCGCUCGUGGCAAUUAACGCCGAGCACCCGGGCCGCGCCAG
rnacentral:lncRNA from 1 species